rfam:Leuconostoc mesenteroides subsp. mesenteroides ATCC 8293, complete genome.
UGUCGUGUCGAUAGCAUAGAGGACACACCUGUUCCCAUACCGAACACAGAAGUUAAGCUCUAUAGCGCCGAAAGUAGUUGGAGGAUCGCUUCCUGCGAGGAUAGGACGAUGCGGUGC